AUGAACGCUGGCGGCGUGCCUAAUACCUGCAAGUCGAGCGCACAGACGAGGAGCUUGCUCCUCUGACGUUAGCGGCGGACGGGUGAGUAACACGUGGAUAACCUACCUAUAAGACUGGGAUAACUUCGGGAAACCGGAGCUAAUACCGGAUAAUAUAUUGAACCGCAUGGUUCAAUAGUGAAAGACGGUUUUGCUGCCACUUAUAGAUGGAUCCGCGCCGCAUUAGCUAGUUGGUAAGGUAACGGCUUACCAAGGCAACGAUGCGUAGCCGACCUGAGAGGGUGAUCGGCCACACUGGAACUGAGACACGGUCCAGACUCCUACGGGAGGCAGCAGUAGGGAAUCUUCCGCAAUGGGCGAAAGCCUGACGGAGCAACGCCGCGUGAGUGAUGAAGGUCUUCGGAUCGUAAAACUCUGUUAUUAGGGAAGAACAAAUGUGUAAGUAACUAUGCACGUCUUGACGGUACCUAAUCAGAAAGCCACGGCUAACUACGUG
rnacentral:rRNA from 1 species